ensembl:lncRNA
CGAGUACCUUCGUUCUCAGGCCGAGGCCCUACUGCUGUCUUAUUGGUAUCCAGAAGAUGGGAGCGAGGUCUCCUCAGCACAUCAUGAACCUAAGCCUGUUCUCUGCCUUGAUUCUUCCUCUGCAUCUCUGGACUGUCAAUUCGUCCCUGCUCUUGACUAACCUGCACAGGGCAUGCACUUCUCAACAAAAGCCAAGCUAUGAAUGGCAGCAGAAAGACGUCCAUACUCUGUGUGCAUGUCCUCUACUGCUCCACUAACAAUGACGCUGAAAAACAAAAGAUAGAAAUUUAAAAAAGAGGAAAAAUGAAGACGGUGAUUUGUAAAUAUUGACCUAACAGAGGACAUUUUGGAAAGGAUUGAAGGAACUCCCUGUACUUUCAUACCCUCAAAGUGGCAGGAGCACACAAGUCAUCUCAGUAGCCCGCAUCUUGAGAGACUGGACUGCUCAGAGCUAACAUUCAAGACAGAAAACAGCGAUAAGUAGUAGAACAACAAAAAUGAUCAGAUGACUGAAGCUAUUCUUAAAAUAAUAUGAAAGAUCUUGUUUUGUACAGAUAUUCAUGGGAUAAGGUCUCUUCCUUUGCACUGUGGGAAUCCCUGAACACUGCAUCUGAAAGCUGAAUAAGAAACAGAGAGGUAAAGGAUGAACAGACAGACGCAGACACAGAUGCCACGCGGGAGUCUGAGAAUGGCCUCCCUCUCGGGAGUGGAGUCACAGCAGCCCUAAGGAUCCCCUCCUUUGGGUUUUGUCUCCUUCCGUGAACUCUGAGGCAGAGGCUGAGACUCCUGAGCCUGGGGAGCCCUGAGUCCUUCGAAACCUAACACUUUCCCGUGAAUGUGCAGAGCGCACAGACCGGCGCAACAGUAAAUAUCUCGUGUGGUACACAUGCUUCACUCCUGUUUACCUUGAAUAAGUGCCCGCUACCAGUACAC